AACGCACAUUGCGCCCUCUGGUAUUCCGGGGGGCAUGCCUGUUCGAGCGUCAUUAUAGACCAUCAAGCACUGGCUUGGCAUUGGGUGUCGUCCCCGCAGCGGACGCGCCCCAAAGACCUCGGCGGCGGCGCGGAGCCUCAAGCGUAGUAGAAAUAUUCCCGCUUACAGAGGCCCUCGCGUCGCCCGCUCCCAGAAACCCACAUCUUCAAGGUUGACCUCGGAUCAGGUAGGGAUACCCGCUGAACUUAA
rnacentral:misc_RNA from 2 species